ACACCUCCUCCUCUAAUGUCAAUAUUGAAGAUGGAGAACCUCGUGAAAACCCUAACAAGCAAAACCAUAUCAUUUUUCAAAUCCAAAAACUCCCAUAUUUUCCAUCGUGAAUCCAAAACUACAGAAACUCCAGUCAAUCAUACACAAUCCCUAAUAGAAGUGAUGAAAAUGAUGAGUGUACCUGAAGCAGGCCCCAAACAAAAAAAUAGUUUACUCCACCAAGACGAUUCAUUUCAGUCCACCAAGCUAAGAAGUUUAGUCCACCAUUUCACAUCCGUCCGAGUAAUGAGUAAACUAAGAAGAAGAAAAGAGAAAAAGAGGGAGGGAGAUGAAAUUGAGUGCAGUUAUUGAUCACAACAUCGAUGUUUGAUUGAAUGAUUGUUCCACUUCCUCCACCAUAUGAUCCACAUGGAGGAUACCCCGUGCCUCCACUAGAAAUGACUGCACAAGCCCCUCUACCACCACACAACGGUUAUGCACCUCUCCAGGUGCUUACACAGAGAUGCAGAGGAAACUGUGCUCAGAUGGGAAGACUUUGAAAGGGAUUGUUUGGUGGUUAAUGGUCUUCGAAGAUCCA